CAGUCGCCGCGGUAAUACGUAGGGUGCAAGCGUUAAUCGGAAUUACUGGGCGUAAAGCGUGCGCAGGCGGUUCUAUAAGACAGAUGUGAAAUCCCCGGGCUCAACCUGGGAACUGCAUUUGUGACUGUAGAGCUGGAGUGCGGCAGAGGGGGAUGGAAUUCCGCGUGUAGCAGUGAAAUGCGUAGAUAUGCGGAGGAACACCGGUGGCGAAGGCAAUCCCCUGGGCCUGCACUGACGCUCAUGCACGAAAGCGUGGGGAGCAAACAGGAUUAGAUACCCCGGUAGUCCCUGUCUCUUAUAC
rnacentral:rRNA from 1 species